GGGUGUGAGGGCAAUCUGGCUGUGACAUCUGUCACCCCAUUGAUCACUACGGUUGAUUCAGCUGACCUGGCUGGCUAGGCAGGUGUCCUCUUCUUCCUUCACUGUUCAUGUGUGUCCCUCCUGAAGCUGUGUGUUUGAUCAAAGCUGACAACCUUCCGUAAUAGAGGAGGACCAUUCUUUGGCCAAGGGUAUAUGAGUAGCUGUGCUCCGCUGCUAGAAUCUCCAACAAACUUUCAAAGUUAUUGUGAAUUACAUAAUAUGAUUUCAAAGAGAAGGAAACAUUCGGAAAAUGUCC
ensembl:misc_RNA 7SK 7SK RNA